GGAAGAAUAAGCCUAAUGGUAAGGCAGUAGUCUUGAAAACUACCAGUAAUCAUGUAAAAAUGGUGUGAGAGUUCGAGUCUCUCUUCUUCCU
rnacentral:tRNA from 1 species